rnacentral:lncRNA from 1 species
CAGUCGUAAAUUCACACGCAGCUACAAUUUAUAUGGACGUUAUUUCACCCUACUUUGAAAUGAGUGGGCGAAGAGCCGUAGUUUUGAUGCACUCUUUAGCGUUUGGAAGUGGCAUUAUAAUGACCCUUUUUGCAAUAGCUGUGCCAGUAUUCGGAUCGGCCACGCGGCUCUUUAUCUCCUUUUACUCUUCUGCAUCCGGUCCAUUCGCCGGACUCAUGCUCCUAGCCAUAUCGUC